rnacentral:tRNA from 1 species
GGCCGGCUGGCGCAAUGGUAGCGCUUCAGACUUCUACGGGUUCAUCAUUACCCAUGAUAUCUGGAGGUUGUGGGUUCGACCCCCACGUUGGUCA